rnacentral:rRNA from 1 species
AUUGAACGCUGGCGGCAUGCCUUACACAUGCAAGUCGAACGGCAGCACGGGAGCAAUCCUGGUGGCGAGUGGCGAACGGGUGAGUAAUAUAUCGGAACGUACCUUUCAGUGGGGGAUAACGUAGCGAAAGUUACGCUAAUACCGCAUAUUCUGUGAGCAGGAAAGCAGGGGAUCUUCGGACCUUGCGCUGAUUGAGCGGCCGAUAUCAGGUUAGCUAGUUGGUGAGGUAAAGGCUCACCAAGGCGACGAUCUGUAGCGGGUCUGAGAGGAUGAUCCGCCACACGGGAACUGGGACAGGGUCCAGACUCCUACGGGAGGCAGAAGUGGGGAAUUUUGGACAAUGGGGGCAACCCUGAUCCAGCCAUGCCGCGUGAGUGAAGAAGGCCUUCGGGUUGUAAAGCUCUUUCAGCCGGGAAGAAAACGCAUGGGUUAAUACCCUGUGUGGAUGACGGUACCGGAAUAAGAAGCACCGGCUAACUACGUGCCAGCAGCCGCCGUAA